GGGGAUGUGGCUGAGUGGUAGAGUGUCUGCUUUGCAAGCAGAAGGUCCCAGGUUCAAUCUCUGGCAUCUCCC